GAGCAGCAUACGGUGGAUCAACAAAAAAUUUGUUCUGAACAGGAUUCAGAAAUGGUAGAAAAAUAAAAGAGAUCUUGGAAAUAUAUGAGAAAGUUGUAGAGUUCGUUCACUUCGAAAAUGAGGAAACUAAUCGUGCACCGGAGGUGUUUAAUGAAACUUAACUACACUUAAACUACACUAUUUCUAUUAUGUAUUAUGUUUCUGUAGAAUAUGAAUUUGUCAUUAAUAAAUUUGUUCUUCUUGGUGUUUUGGGAGCUGGAACGGAUUAAUGGCAUUUCAGUUAAUUUUAGGGGGAAACUGCUUUGAGAUACGAGCAAUUUGACAUACGAGCAAGGUUAGGAAACGAAUUAAGCUCGUAUGUCAAAGUACCACUGUAUACGGACAUUGUUUACAAAAUAAUCAUGAAUGGAGAAAUUUUAACCAUUUUUGGAUCAAAUAGAUAAUUAAAGUUACUUAGAAAAUUUUGAUAUUUUUGUAUAAGUUCUUGUCAUAUAUCUUUCUUUUGCACACCACACGCGCGAAUCACUCCCACCUCGCAAAAUAUCUCAUCAUUACUACACAUCAUCUCAUAUAAAAACUCUGGGGAGUUAUCGUUGUUGCUACCGCUGUCGAAGCCUUUACCCCACUCCACUGAGUUAGACAUUGGUUGCAUCGAGCCGGUUUAAAGCCAUCAUUUUGUCGCUGCUACCUUGCAUGAGGAAAUCAUCGGAUUAUCUCUCAUCAUAUAAUCAACAUACAUAAGACUAAAAACCAGGUACGUAAAUUCAAAUCUAUAUUUGAAGUGAGCUACCCGCGUUUGUUAAUUGUUUUUAUUUGAGAAAACGUAAUAUAGGUCGAUCUUCAAUCACCCUUCGCGUGUGUCAUUGUAAUUCAAAUACAGUCCACUCUUGUUGCAUUAAAUUGCAUUCGUUGUACUGAUCAACCUACGUUGCGUUGAUCAUACAUUUGACUUUCGUUUGAAAACAAGUCAGUUGGUCGACUUAUAUUAACACUUCUUGUGUUAAUGAAGUGCAUUCCCCUACAACAAGUAGUUCUGAUCAUCCGUCGUCGCGUUGAUCAUACAAAACAUAUUUGAUGCUUUAUUACCAUUUCAUUUCUUUCGUUUCUAACUCUAACUUCCAAAGUCGAAACAUUUGUGAAAAUUUAGCAAAAUCAUCUCUUUUUGCUUCGCUCACAAUUCCUUUUACAUCGAUUGGAUCUUUAAAGAGUUUUUGAUGUUGUUUUAUUUCCCCUAGCUGUUGCUUUACUCCCUCGCCUUAGUUGAAGAAAAAUUUGUAUCACCACAUUUGUAAUAACAGCAUACAUACACAUUCUCGUCGUUUGAUUUAUUUGUUGUGCAAUUUCUCACCAACCACCAACCCUCCACGCUUCAAAGGUUGAGCCCUUUAACGAGAAUUGUUUGCUUCUAAUUAAUAAUAACAACACAUUUGUAUGAAAAGUGCAUUUAUCUGUCGGUUGAUUACUUCGUCGUCGCAAACGCACGUUCAAUGUAAUUCUUCUUCGUUUCCCUGUAGUCAAGCAGAGAACCUUGUAUCUCUAUGUCACCACCUAUUUUAUAGCAAAAAUGGAUUAGAUAAAAUGUCAACAACUUCCCUUAAUUGCGGGAGUAUGUAAACGUUGUAGACGUUAUCUGUAGUGUAUUUGUGGCAACAUUGUCAACGAUCGCUUUAAUGGUUUUUUACCGUUAGACUUUGAUGUCAAUAGAUACACAUUUUUUGAUAUUUGCUUUGCAUCUUAUUUCAUUAGUUUCUUUUGUGAGAACCACACGUGUUCCUUAAAAUUGUGCAAAAACAUUGUUGAAGUUAUUGUGCGAAUAAGGCAUCUUCAAAACAAAUUUAGCUUUGGGCGAAAAGCACAAAUGUUCAAUUAGAGACGUGCAAUAUAAAUUUGUAUGCCCGUCAUUCCACUUGGAUUACGUAAUAAUACCCAUUUUACACUCAUGCGUUCCACAAAAAGUACAAGCCAAUAUUCCAAGAUCGUCCAGUAUGUAGCACAUUGUUAAUAUUUAUUUUGUACACCCGCUCUACACAACAAUGUCUGACGAAAAAGCAAUACCGUUCAAAGGAAAUAUGAAAUAUUAUACUUCAGAAGCAACUUCAAAGUGUACUUCCUGUGAAGAUAUAGGAAAAAAUGGACACGAUACUGCAGAUUUUAGGCGAGCAUAAAAUUUUGCUAGAUCGCAUUAGUUCCUAAAACUCGAUUGUACAAAAUAAUGGCCAUCUUCCUAAUAAACACGGACAUUCGCCAAAUGAAAAGUCUCGUUGGUGGCACCGUCGCACGCAAUCUACACCUUAUAUUUGGAAAAUCUAUUAUAAUAAAUUACAAUGUGAAUGGAACUUUUGGCAAAAAAGUUGAUCUAAAUAUGGAAAAGUCCAUGCAGCAAUAAUAGAUGUAAUAACAACGUAUGACAAGUGUGCAGACAAGGCUCUAAGAACAGCUUUUCAACGCAAAAAAAAAAAAUAAAUUGUUUUGAUCUCCAACUCUCACUGUUGGAUCGUUUGUGGCGUCGCUUGUUGUGUGGACGAAUAUAAGCUUUUCCCACAAUACUUGCAUUGACACGAGCAUCCGUUCUUAUUUCUGUUCUCUCCAAAAUUUGCUGACACCAUGUCUGCUAUCACCUCAGGUGAUUUCUUUGUAAUUUAAGUAAACAUAAUCAUAACCAUAAUGAAAUAUGUAACUAUAAGUUUAUUUCAGUUGUUAAAUAUAACUCAAUAAAGGAGGUUCACUCCCAUAAAACAAAAUAAAAA